rnacentral:rRNA from 1 species
CAGCAGUAGGGAAUAUUGCCCAAUGGGCGAAACCCUGACGCAGCAACGCCGCGUGAGUGAAGAAGGCCUUCGGGUUGUAAAGCUCUGUCAAGCGGGAAAAACGUCCUGCAGUUAACAGCUGCGGGAUCUGAUGGUACCGCUAGAGGAAGCACCGGCUAACUCCGUG